UCUACUGCGCUUGCGCAGUCGUCCCCUGUAAUAUGCGCGUCUCCGGUUACUUCUUUGCUGGCGUCUUAGUCCAUUUGUUUGGCUCUUUGUGCUGCGCAAUGUCGUCGUGUUGGUGGCGGUCUUCAGUAACCGGGACCUUGGAGGCUGGGAGGGAUAGCUGAUGUGCAGGGCCAGCACUGGGGGCGAGCUCAGGGCGGGCAGGGAUGUGCUCGAGGAGUGAGGCCCGCAACCCUGCAGAGGGCGCCCGGUCCUGUUGACUCACUCCUUGCUGGGGUGAGACAGUUGUUAGGGUUAAGUUUGCAUUUCAGAACGUUCUGGUAAGGGCUUUGUAGCAGGGUGAGAGUGAAGACCUGUGCAAGAGAAGAAGCCAUAAGGGUUCAAGAUGCCAGGCGAAGCCACUUACCAACCUUUGCUCGUCCCACGCCUGGGAGAACUCGAGUGGUUUCCUCUAACUGCACAGGACCACUGUGAGCCAUUUCUACUCUGUCCAGUUCAACAGCUGUCUCACCUGGAAAGCCACUUUUCCUGUUCACCUGCCUCUGGAGGCCCACCUUUCCCAAGCCCUACAUCACAGCCUCUGAGAUUUGGUUAUUCCUUCCGGGAAACUCGCCUCUCUGACCUCUCUCCUCAGCUAGAGACCACCUGCCUCCUUUCUCCACAAGGAUGUUUCAAAGGCUGCUAAAACUUGACAUUUCCUAAAAUAAAUACUUGGUUUCUGCUUUAAACCAGUCC